UGUCCCAUGCCUCCAUUGUUGCCAUUCAGGUAGUGUGGUAGGAAGAGGGAAUGGAGCAUUGAAGGGAAAUGAAAGAGGCAUCAAGGAAAGGGCUGGAACCAAGAGGCAGCUCUCUCCCUACUGGAGCGGCAUUCCCCCACUACGAAAUGGUCCCUGGAACAAGACUUCUUAACCGAGCAGGGAGCCACGGGACCACUGAGGCCGAACCGAAGAUGGCUUAGAGCGGCUGUGCUUGUUUUUAUAAAUAAAGUUUUAUUGGACACAACCACACCCAUUCCUUUAUAGAUGG